GAGCAAUGGGCCGCAAAAGUUCUGUAUUGAGAAAGUGGGAAAAGAAAACUGGCUGCCAAGGAGCCACACAUGCUUUAACCGUCUGGAUCUGCCGCCCUAUAAAAGCUUCGAGCAGCUAAAGGAGAAGCUGCUGUUUGCCAUCGAGGAAACGGAAGGCUUUGGUCAGGAGUGAUGCAUGCACACUUUCCAUCCGCUUUCACCGUCAUAUCAAACUGGUGCUGCUACGAGGGAGAAACGCUCUGUAUCCAUUAGCUUAGGUCUUCUUACCAUCCUCUUCUGAUUUUACGCUGCCUUAGUCGAUGAUGGAUGCACAGCAAUGCAGCGCCCCUCGGCUCACUCUAUGCACACUGUGUGACCCUCGUAUUAACCUGUUCAUGACUGCCACCCGUCUCUACUGUAGUAAUGCACAUGCAACAGACUUUUCCUCUAGAACUUGAAGUUCAAUUGAGUUUUGCAUGGUAUGUGUCUGAAUGAGUCUCAUCUGUUGUGCGUACAUGUACAGAGGAGUGCAAGACGCAAUUUCAUAUGGUUUGUAUUGCCACUGCAGAUCUGUACCUUCAUGCAAACAUGGGUUUACCAAUUGAAAAAGGUUGCACUUUAUUACUG